rnacentral:rRNA from 1 species
UACAGAGGGUGCGAGCGUUAAUCGGAUUUACUGGGCGUAAAGCGUGCGUAGGUGGCUUUUUAAGUCAAAUGUGAAAUCCCCGAGCUUAACUUGGGAAUUGCAUUCGAUACUGGAAGGCUAGAGUAUGGGAGAGGAUGGUAGAAUUCCAGGUGUAGCGGUGAAAUGCGUAGAGAUCUGGAGGAAUACCGAUGGCGAAGGCAGCCAUCUGGCCUAAUACUGACGCUGAGGUACGAAAGCAUGGGGAGCAAACAGG